CAAGCUGGCAUGUGGCUCAAAAGAGUUUCUGUGGAUCCGGUUUUGUUAGGUUGGGGGUUUGAAGUACUGUAAGCUAGUGGGAGAGAGUGUAAACAGAUGGGUGACAGGGAGUUGGGGUGGGCUUACUCUGCUCCAACAACUCAGAGGUGAAUUUCUACUGAACUCCUGCUUCUCUGCAGGAACUAUGUCUUUGAAAACUACAUAGUUUUUUUUUUUUUUUUAAUUUUGGCUAAAAACGGCAUGAACACAACUAAAAGACCACUGGGAACGAUAUUGUAAUGAAUCAAAAAUACCUUAAAGUAUGAUUGUAGUAGAAAUAAUGUAAAUACAUUUUCAUGUCUAGAGGUCUAGAUGACCCAACUCCCAAUGUUAAAGUGCCUAGGAUAGCACAAGGGUUACGUGAAUCUUGGUCUACACUUAGAGUUGUAGCAAAGGAGUAGUGAUUGCAUCCUGGUUGAAGCACAUACUUAUGUUCUUGAUCAGGAUCAAACCUUUCUUUAUUGUCAUCAUCUGGACUGAUUUAUUUUACCCUGAGCCAAUUCUAAUCAGUCUAGUCUGGUCCUAAAUGUAUUUUUAUUCCCAUCUCUAGUAGGUUAAGCCCUGCUGGUCUUAACAUACUAAGUAUCAUUUUUUCCCCAAUGAAAUCAAAACAAAAGGUAGAUUGUUUGCAUACAUGAUGCUGCAAAAUGUUGGGUUUCUGAGGAUAGAAAUUUACAGCAGCAGGACUGCAGCUCUGAGCAAUUCAACAAAAAGCCCAGGCUUUUGUUACUAGAAUACUACUAGGUUUUGAAUUAUAAAUGUUCCUGUAGGUUACUACUGCCAAAGCCUCAAUCACAUGCACCCGCACAGGGGGUUGACCUAUACAAGUGCUGCCAAUUUUGGAUUGUCCGGUCUGUGGAGGCUUGUAGAGAGAAGCAAUUUAAGGAGAGCACAGAUGUCUUUCAGUUUCCCUGAGAACCCCACGGCCGCCUUACAGGACGUCAUAAAAAUGUAUCGUACCAUUACCAUGUGUGUGGACUACAGUUUGAAGUCAAGCAAUUGGACUAGAGAAGGUUUUUCCAUGGUGAGCUGUCACCACACAUCUCCUGUGAGGCAGGAUUUUCGACAACACAAAGUUCACAACAGAGGUACCUGAAGUCUUCAUGCUGCAACCCAGAUUUGAGAGGACUUUAUCAAAAAUAACUAACGUACGUUUUAUCACAAAUCCCACAAUCAAAACCAAGGAGGGCAACGAAGAAACUAUUUAC
rnacentral:lncRNA from 1 species